rnacentral:ncRNA from 1 species
UUUGAACGCUCGGGGCGCCUUCGCCUUCCUGAAUGGGACGGCUGGCGGGGGCUGAGACGUACCCGCACCACCUGAUCCGGGUCAUGCCGGCGGAGGGAACGCGCCAUGUCGACCAC